CCAAUUUAGCCUGUGCAAUCUGCACAGGCUUAUUUGUGACAACACUUUCUGUCUAGACUGGAUUUUCAUUUAGAAGAGACUUCCUUUAAACGAAAAAUUCCAUAAAAGUUGAAUGUGUUGUCCCUGAUUAGCCUGUGCAAAAUGCGCAGUCUAAUCAAGUAAUAUACUUUACACACAUACUUUAUUCCCGGUUUUUCGAGAGCACAGCUCAUACGUUUUUUGAAAUCGUUCUUUGCUCUGGUAGUUUAACGGCAGGUAAUAAUAGAUAUAGAUUAGUCUGUAUUGCUUUUUGAAAUCGUUCUUUGCUCUGGUAGUUUAACGGCAGGUAAUAAUAGAUAUAGAUUAGUCUGUAUUGCUUUUUGAAAUCGUUCUUUGCUCUGGUAGUUUAACGGCAGGUAAUAAUAGAUAUAGAUUAGUCUGUAUUGCUUUUUGAAAUCGUUCUUUGCUCUGGUAGUUUAACGGCAGGUAAUAAUAGAUAUAGAUUAGUCUGUAUUGCUUUUUGAAAUCGUUCUUUGCUCUGGUAGUUUAACGGCAGGUAAUAAUAGAUAUAGAUUAGUCUGUAUUGCUUUUUGAAAUCGUUCUUUGCUCUGGUAGUUUAACGGCAGGUAAUAAUAGAUAUAGAUUAGUCUGUAUUGCUUUUUGAAAUCGUUCUUUGCUCUGGUAGUUUAACGGCAGGUAAUAAUAGAUAUAGAUUAGUCUGUAUUGCUUUUUGAAAUCGUUCUUUGCUCUGGUAGUUUAACGGCAGGUAAUAAUAGAUAUAGAUUAGUCUGUAUUGUUUUUUGAAAUCGUUCUUUGCUCUGGUAGUUUAACGGCAGGUAAUAAUAGAUAUAGAUUAGUCUGUAUUGCUUUUUGAAAUCGUUCUUUGCUCUGGUAGUUUAACGGCAGGUAAUAAUAGAUAUAGAUUAGUCUGUAUUGCUUUAAAGGUUAAAUAAUUUCUUUGUGGGACUUCUUUUUACUUGGGUUAUGGGACAAAGAUGAUAUUUAUCAACAAUCAAACUUUGAGAGACAAGUGUUUGUUUUGUCACACUUUUAUUUACAAAUGAAUAAAAUGCCAUCUCAUUUUAACACAAAAGUGCAAUAUUCAUGGUUAAUCUUAUUUGGAAAACAAUAACAUAUUUGUUUCUCAAAUCAGAGUAUUUAAGUAUUGAAAAUGAUGUAUGUAAGUAUUUAUUUAGACAUGUUACAUUAAUUUGUUAAAGAUAUUAAUGUAUAAUGUAUU